GGGGGUAAGAGUUGAACCUAUACCUCUUGCCAAAAGGCAAGAGGUAAUGUCACUCGUACAUACAUACACACAUGUCUAUGAAUUUAUGUACAAAUUCAUGGAAUGAAUAACUUGCCUCUUAUAGGUGUAAUGCUUACAAGGAAUAAAUCAAUGUUGAUUAGAUAUCUUAUAUUGACCUAAUAUAGCCAUCAAUGUAAUAAAUGACAUGCUUCCCACAUGCUAUUUAAAUUGGUAGUAGAUUGGGCAUUCCUUUGGGUAUUUUUUUUGGGUGAGUGCUCUACAAAAAUAUAGGAUAGUUCAUGGUUUUUACUUUUUCAUUUUCCCUUUCUUCUUCUUUCUUCUUCUUGCUUCUUAUUUUUUUGGAACAAAGAUUCUCCUAAUUCUUUUUGUAAAUUAUAGAAAUAGAUGCAAAAGAUCCCUUGCUUAAGCUGGGAA
rnacentral:lncRNA from 1 species